UGCUGAGUUGAAUUUAUUGUUUCGACGUAAUCGUUUUGGAGCCUCGGUAAAAAUUAUAUCUUGUCUAUAUCAAAUGGCCUUAACACGUUGUCAUGAAUUACACUGGCGUUUGGCACGAGCUUGGCUAACCGCUCUGAAAAUCCCAUUCAAGUUAUUGAGGUCUUGUGCUAGCGCCGGUAAUGUGAAUCUUCGUGUAGAGUUCAACUUCACUUAAACUUCAUUGCGAUGCCUCUUGAAGUUGUAAUGAGGCAAAAUGGUGUGUUUUUACGAGUUGGGGAGGAGAUGACGUUACUGAUUAUUGGUGAUAGAUGAUGAAGUGUGUUUAUGGAAUAGAUGGUUGGACCAGGCUGUCUUUAAUCAAGAAUAUCUUCGGAGCAAUCAUAGGGUUUGGAUGAGUCAAAUUUUAUUUUAAAGCUCGAAGAAAUAUCCUGAAACUGAAAAGAAAACAUAAAUUCUAGUCUGUCAUUUUAGAAGUCGAACUACAAACGAUUAAUUUUUCGACGUUUCAUCUGAGUUAAAUUUUUUGACUUCGUGACUUCUUUCGGUUUACGUGGUAUUCUCUUUUCAUGGUUUAUAUUUUAGACUUCGUUUGUGUGUAGGGAAUCUUUAUACAGUCAUAGCAUGAUGUUUCCCUUGAAAUCGAUGAUGAAAUAGUUUGAUGGCUCGAAUAGCAAUAGAAUAACAAUAAAAACAUGAAUUGAGCGCUCAUGAAAAUUCACACAACUCCUCAAGAAUUCUUACAAAGCUUUCUCAACUUCUUCCCAUAACCGGAAAUGCGUGAGUAUGAAUGACGUGCGCGGUCAGUCAUCGCGUCGCAAUGCAGUAGAGAUACAGCCACGGCCCCAGCAAUUUACCAAAGGAAAUGUCAACGAUUUGCUCGGUUGGCUUCAGUGCAAGGAUUCAAGCGUAAUAUCGAUGUGCACCAAGAUCAAACUCCAGAAUGAAAAAGUGCCGAUACUUCGUGACGAAUGGAUAAACUAAUGUUCAACUCUAAGAAUGAAAGGAAUUACUCUGGCUUCAGAAUUAGUAUCUCCCUGCCAGUGCAGUUGCAUUCCCCUCGAAUUUCUGACAUUCUCUGGCAUUUAUCACCAAUUUCUCUGCCAACUCGGGUCGAUUCGUACGUUUCACUCACUGAGAUGUCAAGGGAAUUGAGUAAUCUGAUGAAAAAAGCGAAUGCACAGAGACUCUGAUGAAAAAUAUGGAAAAUAUUGAAGAAACUUGGGAAAUUAAUUAUUAAAUAAUUACAAUAAUUUAGUGCAAUUUCACGGUAUUUGAAGAGGGCGGCAUAAGGAUCAUGAGAAUAAAGUGAAGGACGGCAAAAAUGUCUUGGGCUCCCUAGCCCUUUCAUUACCCCGUUGCAGCACGGAGCUUGCGAGAAGUGUCGAUUGGAAGGAAUUGGGGGUCAAUCCGGAUAUUAGUGCGCCAGAAGAGAGGCACGAUAGAAUCCGCAGACCCCUGGGCAAGGAUGAGCAACGGAGGAAUGUAGCGUACCCCAAUGGGUUAAAGACUUCCUCGCAACAUUUUGAUGGACUUGCACUGAAAAUAGUACUUGCAAGAAAUACUAUUAAAUUCAUAAAUUCCUUCCAACACGAUUCGCGAUUUCUCGCGAAUACUCGGAUAUUUCUCGAAAUUCUUGACGAAUUCACGGAAAGCCUUGGACGUUAUCAGUACGUCUAGCUGCAGAAAAAAAACAUCAGAAAAUCAAUAAAAGAAAUCAAGAUUAAGGGGAUGUGUAAUGUACACGUGGUGAAAGGAAAUAUUACAAAAUAUUACCAGUUAACUCUCGUAGUUUGAUAGCAAAAGUCGUAAUCCAAUGAGUUACAACAGUUGAAAUGUUUCUCACGUUGCAGAAGAGUAUUUACCUUACCCAUUGUGUUUCUAAAUACAUGAAAUUGGAGGGAAUACUGGGGAUUAUAAACGCUGGAAGGCCGCGGAAAUUGAGCGGAAACGGUAAAAACAUCAUUAUUGAGUGAAGAGUGAAGCUGGAAUUAGAGGAAUCAGUAGAGAAGGACAGGAAUAAUUCAAUUUGGCGGCUCAAGGAUCGAACAAACAGUGAAGGAGAUUCUUUGCUGUUAAGAAGAAAUUUUUCAUUCAAAUGAGUAAUAUUUCUGAUGUAAAUAAAAACUUUUGGUGAUGUUUUUGUAAUAAAAUUUGAAUUUGAAAGAUUCGUGAGGAAAUUAAAGUCGAACGAUUAUCGACUCUAAUAUCAAUAAGUUCUCAUGAACUGCGAAAGAGUUUAAAUUCUUUUGCAUCGACACUUGUCAACUAAUUUGAUUUUUUUACUUGUUUUUUCCAGGUCUUCAGUUACACGUUGAAAUUAUUCCGAGAGCAGUUUGGCCGUUACGAGCUAGCGAUUCCGACAAGACUCCAAUGUUGUGCAACGUAUUUUUGGCUGGACCCGUCAAUGCUAAUAUGAAAGCAUAUGCCAUCAGUGCUUGGCGACCUCGCUUUGAGAAGAAUUGCGGCAGAAGAAGGAAUACGACACAUCUGGAGGACAAUAAUAUUGAGACGGCUAGAUCAUUCUGGGGACAGUGAGAAUGAAAAACAACAGACCACUUCCUUAUUGAAACGGGCUCAAUGACCUCCCAAACAUUGGAAAAAAUAUCCAGUGAAAAUUAGAGGAGGAGCAAACACACAUGCAGCAGCACUGGAAUGAUUGAUUCAUUUGAAGGACGAUCCUUACGGUUUCAGUACCUCAAACGAAUCAUAUGAACAAACACAGAUUGCUGGCCUGCGAAAAAGAUUCCAGGCAAGAAGAGUAAUCUCGAACCAUGACGAAAUUGAAGAACUUUUUUCUGUCAUUACAGACGCUGACGAAUCUUUCACCGGCUUAUCGUCAGGGAUUGAUUCUGAUAGUUAUGUUUCCCUUGGCUUUCGUUCAAAGGGAAAGCUCGAGUCCCGCUCAAGGUUAAAUAACAAAGAGCUGCGACGAUCCAGAUCUACUUCUCCUUUCCAAAAUUUCAACUCUAAGCUCGAUGACGAUGGCCAUCGUUCGUCAUUAAGGAAGAAAAAUGCACGGGAGUUGAUCGAUUUUUUUUCAAUUGGAUGGUCACUGUCAUUAAUUUCAAAUUCCAGUUCGGGGCACAAGCAAAUUGAAGGAGCCCUCCACUUUUGAGACUUGUCCAAGAAGCUCCUCCUCUAUGUCCCAUUUUCCAGAAAAAAACUUGAGGACUCCAAAUACUACAUUCCAACCUCCUAAGAAAAAUUCCAACUGUUCGAAGACCACCAAUCACUGAAAAAAUAAGUAUAGGACAGCAACAACUAGUAAACUGAUAAAAGAUAGCAGCUCUAUUCCGUCAUGGAGGCAUAGCAUGCGUGAUUUCUCACGUGCAUCUCAUUCCAUGAGUAGUCCAACCACGCUGGUUCGUGAUGAGGACAUCAAGAAGAUGGAGGAUCCUCGUAUACAAUGUAUCGACAAACAUGUGCGAUCUUUGACAGCAGCAGUUGAUCAGAUUCAAUCACAGCUAGUCCGAGGUCUUGCGGAGAUUAAUGAAAUAAAACAACAGAAUGCUGAGGCCGUUAUUAUGCCGGCGAAUCGAGGUCCAAUCGUAGAUCUUCAUCAAUACUUCUGUGAGACUCUGGAAGAAUUCGCGACCUACAAUGAUAUGCUUCGAGAUGAUCCAGAAUACCGCAAUUUGAUGUGCUAUGGCUUAAAAGCCCAAAUCAACCUCAGUGCUAAACUAAAAUACAGCAUUGGAAAGAUACUGAGAAGUUUGAUGAAUAAAAAUAUUCUCGAACAUUACACUGCCCAGAAGAAAACGGAACAGAAAGGACUGAUGUUGAAUUUUGGGGUUUUCCCUAAAUAGAAAAUUCACUCGUCCCAGAGUUUUUAUAUUGAAUACUAGAGAAAAUGUUUUAUCGAUUAAUUGUCAGAACCUUUUCUUUGGGACUUUUUAUUACUGCACUUUUCCAAAGGGAUUUACCCAAAAACCAUGUGGUGACCAGACCUGGUCAAAGUGCAAUCUCUUAAUGGAGAUUCAGGGGGUGCAAAGUUUAUUGCCCUCUAUAAGUAGAGGUGAAUCGGGGCCUGACGAAUAAUUUAGUUCUCAGUCUCUUCUAGGAUUUAAUAGAGUGCACAGUGUCCUCUUGACAACUAGGGUCUAAAUAAUAUAUUAAAGUUUACUAUUAAAAAUCAACUGUGUGUUUUCCCAUUAUUUUGUUCCUCAUAUUCCAACAACUGAUAACUGAUUUACAGUUGUGGAAGUGUAUAAAAGCUCAAUUAGCAGAAGAAGCUCGACAUUAGGGGAAGCUUGAAAUAAAGGAAAAGGAAUUAAAUUCAGCUUUGAGCAUGGCCAAGAAUAAUUACAAGUCUUCCAAGAAACGUCCUAACAACAACAAUGCCAUUCAAGAUGUCAAUGGGAAUAGGGAAAAUUAAGGACCCGUAGACCAUGAGCCACUCAAUCGUAGGACGUCAAGUGUUUUACGAAAAAAUUGUCAUUAAAAUAAUUUAAAUUGUUUAUAGAUUUAAAAUAUAUUCUUAUGCUUUAACUAUAGGUUCUAUACAGGGUCAUUCAUAAGACUUUGUUGGGGGUGCACCGGCAUGUUUGGGGGGUGAUUUGGAACCGAAAAGUCCUUUUCCACUUUU